CGUAGGUGGCAAGCGUUGUCCGGAAUUAUUGGGCGUAAAGCGCGCGCAGGCGGAAACUUAAGUCUAUCUUAAAAGUGCGGGGCUCAACCCCGUGAUGGGAUAGAAACUGGGUUUCUUGAGUGCAGGAGAGGACAGUGGAAUUCCCAGUGUAGCGGUGAAAUGCGUAGAUAUUGGGAGGAACACCAGUGGCGAAGGCGACUGCUGGACUGUGUCUGACGCUGAGGCGCGAAAGCCAGGGUAGUGAACGGGAUUAGAUACCCCGGUAAUCCUGGCCGUAAACGAUGGGUACUAGGUGUAGAGGGUAUCGACCCCUUCUGUGCCGGAGUUAACGCAAUAAGUACCCCGCCUGGGGAGUACGGCCGCAAGGUUG
rnacentral:rRNA from 1 species